GUGUGUGUGUGUGUGUGUGUGUGUGUGUGUUUUACAGCCCUUUAAAAUGAUAAAAACCAUUGUUAACUCACAGGCCUCAUAAAACAUAGGCUGUUGGCUAUUAUUCUCCAACCCUUGAUCUAGAGAAUUUUAAACAUUAGAAUUUUGUUUUACAUUUGUUAAGCUUUACGUCAUCUUCAAAUGACACCAAAACUCAGAAUUAUGAUCUGCAUUUAAGCCAAUUUUAAAAUAAAAUAAGCAGUCAAUGCUGCCUCAUUUAUUGAAAUUCAGUAGAUUUUAGUUUAUUUCUUAGUAGUCAGAGAAUUGAUUUAUAGCUAUUCACCAAACAUUCUUACUAACGUUUCCUUAUAUCUAAAUCAGAUUGAUUCUAUAUUUUGCUUUGUUUGUAAUCAAUAGCCAAUGAAGAAUAAGGAGUAUUGGAAGAAGCAGUGAGUCAGCUUUAGGUGACCUGGUUCUUGUCUCAACUUUGUGAUUUGGGGAGAUACAGUUUACUUUCCCUGAGCCUUAAUUCUUGUGUAACUGAAGUCUAACUUAACUUCUUAAUGUCCUUCCAGAACUAAAAUUUUAUUGUUCAUUCUAAUCGUUGGACUACUCUUGUGAAGUUUAUAUUUUGAGUUAAUACAGUUUCCAAAUUAACAUACAUUUAAAAAAAAAAGGGUAGUAUUUUUCCAUUUCUCUGUGUGCACUUAGGAUAAACAGUGAAGUAUAGCUUAUAAAACAAUUAGUUUGAGGGCUGAGAGUGUAAGAGGAACUAUACCAAAAGUCAGGAAACCUGAGCUCUUACCCUAACUCUGUUACCAACUUUGCUGUGUGACCUUAAUCAAAACACAUAACCUGGACCCCAUGCUCCUCACCAGUAAAUCAAGGGCCUGAAUUUUAUGGCUUAGUAUUCCCUUCCAAGCUCCGAAGUUGCGUGAUUCUGUGAAAGGCAGUGAUUGAUUCCUUUGUACUCAUCUUCCUUUUGACCUGUUUCCUCAUGAUAUAUUGGGGAACAAAUACUAAAAAGUGUUUUAUACUAGCUUUCUUGAUUGACAUUUCCCUAUAAUACUGAUGAAUUUGGGUGAUGGAAAGUAAUGGAAAUUGUUAAAAGUUCUGCUCUCAAAUCUGAGUCUCCUUGCCCUGUGUGCCAAUGUUUAACCAUAUUUGCUAAUCUAAGCCAUAUUGCGAGGAUCUCAAGGAUGAUACUUGUCAAGAGUUUGGGGCCUUGAGAGCACAGUUUUCAAAAUAAUACUUAGUAUUUUCUGACUAUAGAGUACAUUUGUCUUGUAAAGUAUAUUUUAAAAUACAGAGAAGUGUGAAGUACAAAUAUCUCAGUGCUACUAUUUAAAAAAACACAAUUAGUAUAUAAAUCCUUCCCCAUUUUUUUGACAGUAUAAUUUUAGUAUGUUAAACUUGGUUACUUCUUUCUCUCUUCCUCCAUCAUUUUCCCUGCUUCCUUUUUCUUUUGUCAUAUUCUUAAAACAAUUUUGCAACCACAGGUACCCACAUUGCUGGCACUACCAGCCUUGGGCUACUACCGAGGAUAAUGGAGCCAGGGCCUUGUAGAAGCACAGAGGAAGUCUAGAACUGAGGGGGCCUAUGAUACAGGAAGUUCAGGAGGCAGAGUCUCAAAGGAACACCUGCCUUUAAUAAUGUUUACAGAAGUGGAGAAAGGACUAAAGGACUUAAAGACAUGCAGGUGUCUUCAUCCUGAUUCUGUCUUUGUUAUUGCACAAUGACUAUAAAAUAAUGACCUAAUUUUUUUUUUUUUCUGGCUUGGCUAAUGGAAAUCGACACUAGCGCUUCCCCAGUAUUAGACUUAAUCUAAUUCCAAAGUAACAUUCAAGAAAAGAAAAACCAGUGGAACAGGAUCAGUAAGCUCAGACUCUCCAUCUCCAUUAUUUUAGCCUUGACCAUUCUUCUCUAAUCCUUUUAAAUUAUCUUCAGUUUCCAGUUCAAGUUACAUUGCUUCAGUUACAGUUUGUUUGACCCUGUAUUCAGAGCUGCAUUAUGAUUCUUGUGGGCCCUAGAUAGUUUUGCCAUCUUAGACCCCUUCUUCCAUACAAAAUUAAAAGUGAUAUUUUACAAUUGUAUCUGUAUGAAAUGAAUGUAUUAAUAUUUUAGAUUAAAACAUUUUGUUUAGAAGUUCAGUUUUUUCUUAUGAGGCUAAAAAAAAUUAAAACAUUUUUGUGGGCUUCUAAAAAACUGUGGGCCUUAGGUACUGUGCCUAAUGGAUAAGUUGGCAUUGCCUGUAUUCUGAAGGGCAUCAUUGGAAAAAUAGCAGUCAUUAUUCUGUCCCCUUCUCCCACCACCACAGUCCUUGGAGAAGCCUUUGCCACUCCAUCCAGGAGCACUGCAGUUUCCACGGUUAUAGAUCUAUAGACUUGAACUUACUUCCUUCCCAACCUAACGAAAACUCACAAGGAUUACUUGGGACCAUUCAUCCUCAAAAAAGAUAGGAGGCAGUGGUUUGUUUUAGUCUUCAGAUAUUUUUGUUUUGGUCAGUCCCUAAUCUGUAGUUUUGAAACUCGUGCCACACUUGAAAGGGAAACAUCCUACUACCUUUCUUUCCUCUCCAUUUCCCACAAACCCUUUCCUUCAUCAUCACUCCCUGCAUUCUUACUUCUCAGCAUAUAAAUACAAGACCCUUCUUUCUAUUAUUUGUUGAAAGCUAGGCCUGUAAAAUAGAGAUGGACAGACCAUGCAUGUUUCCAUGAAGCUAUUUAAUGCUGCUCCCAGUCUUCUGUCCAUACCAUUCCUUCCCUGCCCCUAGGAGUGGGGUUGAGGUCUGUGACAUGCAGACUGUAAGCACAGUCAGAACCUCUGCAGCUCUCAACCCAACAGAGGAGACUGUGGCUUCAACAUGCCAACCUGAGCAGGUCUCCUCUGCAUUACCUUCCUCCCAUUUCUCUUCCUGGGUCCUGAUGAGGUGAGCUGGAGGAACCAAUAGUCAGGAUGCCCUGGAAUUGAUGUUGCUCUGUUUUGUGCUCACAAAACAGCCAUGUAACACAUGAGCACCUGAGUUGAAGCCAUCCAGUCGCAAGUCAGCAGACAGCAGUUGAUGGAAUUCUCAGUAGAAAUUCAGUAAGGGUGCCCAAAUUUUAUUUUUUUUUUCACCUAUACUCUACCAAUAUAUGGUAUUUAGGAAAACUUCUUUUAUCCAAGCACAAAGAAAAGCACACACAUUUUUAUAAUCAUCUGCUUCAUCAGGGUAAAUAAAUAAUUUAACAAAUUUGAUCAGCAUCUCUAGUUUACCAGUACUUUAAUAUUAGUUUUCUUACAAAUUAAUGUAUUUUGCAAUAUUUCCAGAAAAUCACUGUGGGAGAAUAAUGUAAUAUACUUUAGGAUAUAUUUCCUGACCUUUUCUUAAAUGGCUUCAUGUGCUAUUCCCCCAAAUUCUGCUUUCUCUAUUUUCUUUUUUAUUUAACCUAUAAUUAUACUUUCUAGUAUAUUCUGAGUCUAUCUUCUAAGCCACCUUACAUUUUUCCUGGAACAAGGGAGGGAAUAAAUAGUUGCCUCCACUAAAUCAGGAAAAAAUAAAAAUAUCCCAGGGGAGCUGUGAUUAUGCCAAGAGCUCUAAACAGAAGUUUGAGAAGGUAAAAAUUAAGUUGUAGUAUCUGAGUUGUUUUUAUUUUCUUCCUUUGGUGUUUAUGAAGGUAUUCAUAAGAACUUUAAUUUCAGGGGAAAAAAAUGCCUGAUUUGCUAUUUUUGACAUUUCCUCGUCUCUUAAGAAGUCAGUUAAAUAUGUUUUCAUAGUUUAUAUUCCUGUUUCAUAGAUUACUGUGAAACAUGUAUUUAAACCUAUGAAUUAUAAAAUAGUAUUUAGAUUCUAGCGUGAGUUAAAUAGAUUAGUCAUAUAUCUUUUAGAUUUGUGGAUUUGACAUGUAAAUUAUGUGUUGUGUAUAAGUAAGUUAGUUACUAAACAUAUGGCAUGGUUAUUGAUAAACUUGUUGCUAUUUUUUUCCAAAUGCUAUCAGUGUUUGUGGACUUUUAAAAAUUAGUUUGAAUUUUGGAAUGUUCUGUGAUAAAAUGUAAUUUCAACUAUUUUGUACAUUUAAAUAUGCCAUGUUGUAUAUGUCUGUAUUUAAAAAUGUUGUAAAUACCUGCAUUUUAAGAAUUAUGAAAGAUUUUCCUCAAAAAUGACAGAACUCUCCAUACUUAAUUGUGACACAUUAUAAGAUAUCUGAUUUUAAGCUUUUGGAUUUUGUUCUAAAAAUUAAGUUUAAACAUGCUGAAAAUUCCAUAAAAAUAAAAUUUUGAAAAUAAAGUG
rnacentral:lncRNA from 10 species